GGGUGGAAGGCGAGUCGGUAAGGACGUACGGCUACCAACCUGAAGGUUGUGGGUUCAAUUCCCAUCUUCGCACA